rnacentral:rRNA from 1 species
GAUGAACGCUGGCGGCAUGCCUAACACAUGCAAGUCGAUCGGUAAGGCUCUUCGGAGUACACGAGAGGCGGACGGCUGAGUAACGCGUAGGAACACACCCUGCAGUGAGGGAUAGGACACCGAAAGGUGUUCUAAUACCGCAUACGGUCUUCGGAUUAAAGCAUUUAUGCGCUGAAGGAGUGGCCUGCGUCAUAUUAGAUGGUUGGUGAGGUAAUGGCUCACCAAGUCGAUGAUGUGUAGCUGGUCUGAGAGGAUGAUCAGCCAGACUGGAACUGAGACACGGUCCAGACUCCUACGGGAGGCAGCAGUGAGGAAUAUUUCACAAUGAGCGAAAGCUUGAUGGAGCAAUGCCGCGUGCAGGAUGAAGGCCCUCGGGUUGUAAACUGCUUUUAUAAGAGAAGAUUAUGACGGUAACUUAUGAAUAAGGGACGGCUAACUACGUG